GGCAGGAUGGGCUGCACUAGGCUGCUAGAAAAGCCACUGCUAGGCUACUGUAUGGAGGAAUGACAGCCAGAUUGGGAAUAUAGCCUUGUGUGCCUGUCUUCUAUAGCGUCCUUAGACACAAAUUUAGUGAAUGGGACUAAGAAUACAGUGGCAGACUGUAUCACUGACCAGAUCAAGAGCAACCAGCAGAUUUGGAUGAGCUCACACCACAUGGGAUCUCCUGUAUAUCAGAUCCCCAUAUUGACUGGUGAGGAGGAGGAGGAACAUGCAGUGUGAUGAUGCCCUCCCUCUUCCCCUGGGGCAGGAACUAUGUUUGCAUCUAAAUCUGAUAGAGCUAAAGUAAGCUACACCAGACCGAGCCACACUGCGUAACAUUACUGACAGACAGUUGUCACCUCCCUAACAGGACAAUAAGAACACACACAUACCCAUACACUGCCCCCACUUGGACACUGAAGCAGAGGCAACACUGGUGAUAGAGGGAAAGAGAGAGUAAGAGAGAGCAAGCAGACAGAGAGCUGGUCUGGUCUGGGUUAUGGCGUGCAGCAUUGACAAGCCUGUUAACUAUAGAGAGUCAUAUGAAUGCUUUAUAACAUGGGUCUGUGAAUCUGCAUAGAACACAUAAACAUAGACUGCCAGCCACUUCCCGCCUCCUGUAGCAUUGGACAGCACCCGGCUGGAUAUACAUGUCACAGGUAAGAGGGAAAGAGGAGGGUGUAGGUGUUGAGUAAAUCACUUUGUUGGGGUUCUUAUUUUGUAGCUUUGUAUUAUUUGUGCUACGUGCACGGAAAAAUUCAGUUUGAACUCACGUGAGCAGUAGCCAAAAACAUGUUCAUCUGUUGUUCUAUUGUCUGGGUGUCUCCUCCCUUACAGAAUCAAUCAUUAAACACAAAGAGCAUUCUGUUCCCAGUGUCCCAGUGAGGAAUGGAACUGCUGCGCUUUGAUAGAGUAUAGAAAUAGUAUAAUGGUGACGGUUUUGUUUCAAGAUUGGUGGUAGAUUAAUGAAAACUGGAAAGGGGAGUAGAAAGUGAAACAUCAUAGUAUUGACGUCAACUUUAAUCCCUCUGAAUGAGGCAAAGGAGAACUGUAGUAGGCUAAAUGAUAGGCCUAUAAGUAUAAAGCAGAAUAGCAACGGCAUGUGGUUUAGUUCUGAGGUGUU
rnacentral:lncRNA from 13 species